UCCGACAAAGAAAAUAAAAGGGUCAGCGAAGAAAACUAGAGCUAAGUUAACAAAAAUCCUUGCUUUUACUAUCUUUUUUCUUGAAGGGGUAAAAGGAAAUGGUAGAUCAAAAAAUGAAGAAAAAUGAAUGAUGUGAGGGACUUAUAGUAAAGUUUUUGCAAGAAUAUGAGAAACUUGAGAGAGUGAACGGUGGGAAAGACGAAAGACGGAAGGCGUCAAACUGAAAGUGAGAUCUAAGGUGGUUCGAAGGACAGACGUAGCAAGGAAUGAGGUGACACUAAACAGAGCAUGUUUUGUUUUCUUUUUUUUUUUUUCUGGUAAUUGCUAUUUAGAGACUGUAAAAAGAGGAAGGGACCUUUCGAGAUCGAGAGAGAGAGAGAGAGGAGAUC
rnacentral:lncRNA from 1 species